rnacentral:rRNA from 1 species
GUGCCACUCUUAACGGGGUGGCUUUUCUUAAGUGUAAAAAGCUUCUGGAAUAAGGGCUGGGCAAGACCGGUGCCAGCCGCCGCGGUAA